GACGUAGGAUGCAAGCAUUGUCCGGAUUUAUUGGGCGUAAAGAGUUCGUAGGUGGUUUGUUAAGUCUGAUGUUAAAGACCGGAGCUCAACUUCGGAACUGCAUUGGAUACUGGCAGACUAGAGUAUGUUAGAGGCAAGCGGAAUUCCCAGUGUAGCGGUGAAAUGCGUAGAUAUUGGGAAGAACACCGGUGGCGUAAGCGGCUUGCUGGGACAUAACUGACACUGAGGAACGAAAGCCAGGGGAGCGAAUGGG
rnacentral:rRNA from 1 species